rnacentral:rRNA from 1 species
AGUGAACGCUGGCGGUAGGCCUAACACAUGCAAGUCGAACGGCAGCACAGUAAGAGCUUGCGCUUACGGGUGGCGAGUGGCGGACGGGUGAGGAAUACAUCGGAAUCUACUUUUUCGUGGGGGAUAACGUAGGGAAACUUACGCUAAUACCGCAUACGACCUACGGGUGAAAGCAGGGGAUCUUCGGACCUUGCGCGAUUGAAUGAGCCGAUGUAGGAUUAGCUAGUUGGCGGGGUAAAGGCCCACCAAGGCGACGAUCCGUAGCUGGUCUGAGAGGAUGAUCAGCCACACUGGAACUGAGACACGGUCCAGACUCCUACGGGAGGCAGCAGUGGGGAAUAUUGGACAAUGGGAGCAAGCCUGAUCCAGCCAUACCGCGUGGGUGAAGAAGGCCUCCGGGUCGUAAAGCCCUUUUGUUGGGAAAGAAAAGCAGCAGGUUAAGACCCCGCUGUUCUGAAGGUACCCAAAGAAUAAGCACCGGCUAACUUCGUU